UACGGAGGGUGCGAGCGUUGUCCGGAAUCAUUGGGCGUAAAGGGCGCGUAGGUGGCCCGGUCAGCGUGCGGUGAAAGCUCGGGGCUCAACCCCGAGUCGGCCGUGCGAACUGCUGGGCUUGAGCACUGUAGAGGCAGGCGGAAUUCCGGGUGUAGCGGUGGAAUGCGUAGAGAUGUGGAGGAAUACCGAUGGCGAAGGCAGCCCCCUGGGAUGACACUGACGCUGAAGCACGAAAGCGUGGGGAGCAAACGGG
rnacentral:rRNA from 1 species